ensembl:lncRNA
UUUCGUUUUAAAAAAUAAUCCCGUCCACACAUAAAGGGAAAAAUGAAGGAAAACGCUGCUAUGAACAUGCCAAAGCAGCAGGUGGCGCUAGAUUCCUAACCGUGCAGAAAUGUUGGCCAAUCAGAAGUCUAGAAGCCUCGGUGGGAAAAAGUAAACAAAGCUGGGGCAUAGAAGCAGAACAGAGUCGUAUGUGUGGACGGACAGUAACUGUGUGUAUAUGUAAGCAUUUAAACACUGCAGAGAGUAGAAUUAACAGUAUUGUAGAAAUUCAUUUCACCGAAACAAUAACGUGGCGCACAGUGUGACGCAUGCACCAGUUUAUUGUAUUUCCAGACUUGCUUUCGGCACAAUUUACAGUGCACGCUACUCUGUUUUUUGUCAGACUUGAAAUAGCCGAAAUACCUUCACACUACGGAACUUCUAUGGCUCUUCCGUUCGACAAUCUCUCCGGCAUUGGAACCAUCAUCUGUUUUCUCUUCGGUCACGCUCGGUUGAUUUUUCUAGUCGGCACACUCAUUUCCUCCAUUACGCGCUGGCUCCAUUACCCGCUGGCUGCUUCCCAAACAAACACACGUGCGGCUUGGCACUUGUGCUGUACGUAACAAGUCACGCGACGUGACGCUGCGGCUGUGAUUGGUUCGGCUCUGCGCUACUUAAUUUGGAUUGGCUGACCUUUUUUUUUUUUUUUUUUUUUUUUUUUUUUUUUUUAAAGAGGACAAGAGCGGCGAGGUCUAUCGCGAUAGCUUAAUUUCUCUAUCGAGUAAAAGUUAUAUCGCGAUACAUAUCGUUAUCCUUCUAUCGCCCAGCUCUACAUGUGUCCAUAUCAAUUUACUCUGGAGGAGUCUGUAAAACUUUGUGAAAGGAGUCUAAUGCGAGUCAAUAGGUCAGAAAAGCUCACUUCUGUUUGGUGACAGUGAGGUGAGCUGUUGAGGAUUUGCUGAAUUUUGCUGUUAGUAAGCACUGUUUUUGUUCCUCUUAGCUGCUGUUAGCCACUGUUUUAGAUGUUGUUAGGCCCUGUUAGCUGCCAUUAGCUGCUGUAAGGCAGCUUUACUGAAACAUUCUUUGAAGCAUGUAUGUGGCCAGUCUAUAGCCACAUACAUAAAAUGUAAUUAGGCAGCGUUGUAGUGAUGUAGAUCUUAUCCACUGUAUUCAAGAUUGUGGGGCAAAACAUGACAGCUUCCACAAAUCUGCUCUUUUGUAUGUUAAAUGGAUUAUUUCUAAGUUUAUCAGAGUUCAUCA